rnacentral:siRNA from 1 species
UACCGACGAACCUAGGGAGCCGAU